ACUUGGAUAGUUUAAUUAAAACGCUGAUUUGUGGGACCAGUGAUGUAUUUUGUACUUCAGGUU
rnacentral:tRNA from 1 species